rnacentral:rRNA from 1 species
UACAGAGGGGGCAAGCGUUGUUCGGAAUUACUGGGCGUAAAGGGCGCGUAGGCGGCCUGCUAAGUCGAACGUGAAAUCCCCGAGCUCAACUCGGGAACUGCGUCCGAUACUGGCAGGCUUGAAUCCGGGAGAGGGAUGCGGAAUUCCAGGUGUAGCGGUGAAAUGCGUAGAUAUCUGGAGGAACUCCGGUGGCGAAGGCGGCGUGCUGGACCCUUUCUGACGCUGAGGCGCGAAAGCCAGGGGAGCAAACGGG